UGGGGAAUAUUGGACAAUGGGGGCAACCCUGAUCCAGCCAUGCCGCGUGAGUGAUGAAGGCCUUCGGGUUGUAAAGCUCUUUUGGCGGGGACUGAUGGAUGACGGUACCCGCAGAAUAAGCCCCGGCUAACUUCGUGCCAGCAGCCGCGGUAAGACGAAGGGGGCUAGCGUUGUUCGGAAUUACUGGGCGUAAAGCGAGUGUAGGCGGUUGCCGUAGUCAGGUGUGAAAGCCUUGAGCUCAACUCAAGAAAUGCACUUGAUACUGGGUGACUAGAGGACCGGAGAGGAUAGUGGAAUUCCCAGUGUAGUGGUGAAAUACGUAGAGAUUGGGAAGAACACC
rnacentral:rRNA from 1 species